AUUGAACGCUGGCGGCAGGCUUAACACAUGCAAGUCGAGCGGAGAUGAGGUGCUUGCACCUUAUCUUAGCGGCGGACGGGUGAGUAAUGCUUAGGAAUCUGCCUAUUAGUGGGGGACAACAUUCCGAAAGGAAUGCUAAUACCGCAUACGCCCUACGGGGGAAAGCAGGGGAUCUUCGGACCUUGCGCUAAUAGAUGAGCCUAAGUCGGAUUAGCUAGUUGGUGGGGUAAAGGCCUACCAAGGCGACGAUCUGUAGCGGGUCUGAGAGGAUGAUCGGGCACACUGGGACUGAGACACGGCCCAGGCGCCUACUGGAGGCAGCAGUGGGGAAUAUUGUACAAUGGGCGGAAGCCUGAUCCAGCCAUGCCGCGUGUGUGAAGAAGGCCUUUUGGUUGUAAAGCACUUUAAGCGAGGAGGAGGCUACCUGGAUUAAUACUCUAGGAUAGUGGACGUUACUCGCAGAAUAAGCACCGGCUAACUCUGUGCCAGCCGCCGCCGUAACAC
rnacentral:rRNA from 1 species